rnacentral:SRP_RNA from 1 species
GCCGGGCGAGGUGGCGGGUGCCUGUAGUCCCAGCUACUCCGGAGGCUGAGGCAGGAGAAUGGCGUGAACCCGGGAGGCGGAGCUUGCAGUGAGCUGAGAUCCGGCCACUGCACUCCAGCCUGGGCAAAGAAUUUGUAUACUUUAAUGUUUGUUUCCCGUAUAAGUCUGAAGAUCUAGUGAGGUAGAGGCCAUCUCUAUAUAUUAUUUCUCUCUUUUUUUUUUUUUUUAGAUGGAGUCUCGCUCUGUCGCCCAGGCUGGAGUGUGGUGGCGUGAUAUCAGCUCACUGCAAGCUCCGCCUCCUGGGUUCACACCAUUCUCCUGCCUCAG